rnacentral:rRNA from 1 species
GACGAACGCUGGCGGCGUGCCUAAUACGUGCAAGUAGAACGCUGAAGGAGGAGCUUGCUCUUCUGGAUGAGUUGCGAACGGGUGAGUAACGCGUAGGUAACCUGCCUGGUAGCGGGGGAUAACUAUUGGAAACGAUAGCUAAUACCGCAUAACAGUAGAUGUUGCAUGACAUUUGCUUAAAAGGUGCAAUUGCACCACUACCAGAUGGACCUGCGUUGUAUUAGCUAGUUGGUGGGGUAACGGCUCACCAAGGCGACGAUACAUAGCCGACCUGAGAGGGUGAUCGGCCACACUGGGACUGAGACACGGCCCAGACUCCUACGGGAGGCAGCAGUAGGGAAUCUUCGGCAAUGGACGGAAGUCUGACCGAGCAACGCCGCGGGAGUGAAGAAGGUUGUCGGAUCGUAAAGCUCUGUUGUAAGAGAAGAACGAGUGUGAGAGUGGAAAGUUCACACUGUGACGGUAUCUUACCAGAAAGGGACGGCUAACUACGUG